rnacentral:tRNA from 1 species
UCAAACUAGCCUAGUGGACAUGGCAUCUGCCCGGUAAGCGGAACACUGUGGGUUCGAUUCCCAUCACUGGAGAC